rnacentral:rRNA from 2 species
UAAAGAUUAAGCCAUGCAUGUCUAAGUACUUGCUUUAACAAGGCGAAACCGCGAAUGGCUCAUUAAAUCAGUUAUGGUUCACUAGAUCGUAUAUUUUACACGGAUAACUGUGGUAAUUCUAGAGCUAAUACGUGCAAUCAGCUCGUUACCUUGUGUAGCGAGCGCAGUUAUUAGAACAAGACCAAUCCGGCCUUCUGGUCGGUUAAAUUGGUGACUCUGAAUAACCGAAGCGGAGCGCAUGGUCUCGUACCGGCGCCAGAUCUUUCAAGUGUCUGACUUAUCAGCUUGUUGUUAGGUUACGUUCCUAACAAGGCUUUUACGGGUGACGGGGUAUUAGGGUCCGAUACCGGAGAGGGAGCCUGAGAAACGGCUACCACAUCCAAGA